UACGUAGGGCGCAAGCGUUGUCCGGAAUUAUUGGGCGUAAAGAGCUCGUAGGCGGUCUGUUACGUCGGAAGUGAAAACCCGGGGCUUAACUCCGGGCUUGCUUUCGAUACGGGCAGACUAGAGUGUGGUAGGGGAGACUGGAAUUCCUGGUGUAGCGGUGAAAUGCGCAGAUAUCAGGAGGAACACCGGUGGCGAAGGCGGCGCUCUGGGCUGGAACUGACGCUGAGGAGCGAAAGCGUGGGGAGCGAACAGG
rnacentral:rRNA from 1 species